rnacentral:rRNA from 1 species
UACAGAGGGUGCAAGCGUUAAUCGGAAUUACUGGGCGUAAAGCGUGCGCAGGCGGUUUUGUAAGACAGAUGUGAAAUCCCCGGGCUUAACCUGGGAACUGCAUUUGUGACUGCAAGACUAGAGUGCGGCAGAGGGGGGUAGAAUUCCACGUGUAGCAGUGAAAUGCGUAGAUAUGUGGAUGAUUACCGAUGGCGAAGGCAGCCCCCUGGGUCGACACUGACGCUCAUGCACGAAAGCGUGGUGAGCAACCAGU